GGCUCCCAGGCUGGGAGUAUGCAGUAUUCAGUUUGAAUUUUUGAAAGAAAGGGUUGAGAAUACAUUGGGCUUAUCUUGAUGAACUAAUAAUCCUUCUUUAGCAAUACCAGCCUAACCGAUUUAAAGGACAUAUGUUAGUAAUGGCUACAACUUCCUUUUAAACACAGGGAGUAUUGAAACAUAUUUGUAAGUCAAUGACAGCACCCUGUUACAGGUAGCUUGGCACUAAGUUGUAUUGUGAUGAAUCUAUACCUCAUCUAAUGAACUUCCUUAAGUGUGAGCCUCAGCUCCAAGCUCCUUCUCAGAAUACGUGUAGUCCUGCUUCGUGGUUGCAGAACUUGGAAUAGGGCGGGGUGGUCUUAGAAAGAAGCUGCUUUGUUCCAGUUGAAAUGGAGCCAUCACUCAACAGCUAUGAAAGGCAUCGUGGAGGGAAAAAGAUAGAAGUAAAUUCUAGCCCAGAGAAAGAUAUCAUGGCUUAGAAUUAGAUUUAAAAAAAAAAGAAGAAGAAAGAAAGGAAAAAAGAAAUAAAAGGAGAGAGAUCUAAAACUUCUUCUUGCUGAGAACCUACCUCCUGCUGUCUCUGGCAUCCUGACCUCAUCUCUGAUUUUCUUUAGUUGGAAGCAAGGAUGUCCACAGGAAAUUCCAAGGAUGUUUUGUCCUUCUAGCUGGUGAGCUAGGAAGAAGAGAGCAGCCUCACUCAACAUUCCUAUCCACCCCUCGGAGGGCUGUGGAUCAACCUUGACGGCAUUGAAUGCCCAUAUCAUCCCAACACUGUGUCCAAGAAGAAACGACCUUGCUUGUCAACCAUGAUCAUGUGGCCCUCACCGCAAGAAAGAAUGAGGGAGGGGAAGUAGUUGGGGCUGGGCAAUUUACAAAGGGCAAAAAUGCUGAGCAGACUAAAAAGGACAGAUGGACAUUACCACAGUCCAUAGACUGUGAGUAAUAAUACACUCCCCCCUCCCUUUUUUUUUCUUUUUCUCACUCAUUCAGUCAUGAGAACAUGCUUAAAUUUCACUUUAGGUCAGGUACUUCAAGAGUAAUACACCAGUGAACUUUAAAGCUUAGUAGUAGCUUAUAAUCCCUCCUCUUGUUUUUGUGUGUUGCUGUUUGCAGUGAUCAUAUAACCCUCCAAAAAUAAUGCCAACUCUAUUUUCAUUGUAUAGUUCAGUUUACUUUCCCUACAUACACAUUCAUUCAGCCAAUGUUUGUUGAACAAGUACAA